CCCUUAGAUGUCCUGGGCUGCACGCGCGCUACACUGAUGUGUCCAGUAAGCACCUAACCUCUUCCGAAAGGAACGGGUAACCUUUGCAAAGCACAUCGUGAUAGGGAUAGAUCAUUGCAAUUAUUGAUCUUGAACGAGGAAUUCCUAGUAAACGCGAGUCAUCAGCUCGCAUUGAUUACGUCCCUGCCCUUUGUACACACCGCCCGUCGCACCUACCGAUUGAAUGUUUCGGUGAAGAUUCCGGAUAGGACUUUUUUGAUUUAUUUCAAUUUUGUCUUAAAAGCUAUCUAAACCUCAACAUUUAGAGGAAGGUGAAGUCGUAACA
rnacentral:rRNA from 1 species